rnacentral:tRNA from 1 species
UCUAUUAUGAUGAAAUGGUAGACAUACUAGACUUAAAAUCUAGGGCCAAUUUUGGUGUAGGAGUUCAAGUCUCUUUAAUAGAA